rnacentral:misc_RNA from 1 species
GUGAAUCAUCAAAUCUUUGAACGCAAAUUGCGCUUUCUAGCGUCCCGGGAAGUAUGCCUGUUUGAGGGUCAGUGUUAACACAAAAAUCGGUUUGGUUGCAAAUUGUGACGUUUCCGGAGUUUGGGCUAUCUUAACUUUUUUGGUUGAGUGGCUUAAAUUUGACCUUUUUUGCGCAUUUUUAGACGUACAUAUAUUUUUUUUUAUUCGUCUAUCCUUAUUGCUAAAAUCUUAUUAGCAGCGCUCAUC